GACGAACGCUGGCGGCGUGCUUAACACAUGCAAGUCGAACGGAAAGGCCCUGCUUGCAGGGUGCUCGAGUGGCGAACGGGUGAGCAACACGUGGGUGAUCUGCCCCUUACUUUGGGAUAAGCCUGGGAAACUGGGUCUAAUACUGGAUAGGACCAUGCUGUAGGUGGUGUGGUGGAAAGAUUAGUUUCGGUAAGGGAUGAGCUCGCGGCCUAUCAGCUUGUUGGUGGGGUAAUGGCCUACCAAGGCGUCGACGGGUAGCCGGCCUGAGAGGGUGGACGGCCACAUUGGGACUGAGAUACGGCCCAGACUCCUACGGGAGGCAGCAGUGGGGAAUAUUGCACAAUGGGCGCAAGCCUGAUGCAGCGACGCCGCGUGGGGGAUGACGGCCUUCGGGUUGUAAACUCCUUUCAGCCAUGACGAAGCCCUUGUGGUGACGGUAGUGGUAGAAGAAGCACCGGCUAACUACGUG
rnacentral:rRNA from 1 species